rnacentral:rRNA from 1 species
UAGCGAAGGGGGCUAGCGUUGUUCGGAUUUACUGGGCGUAAAGCGCACGUAGGCGGAUUGUUAAGUCAGGGGUGAAAUCCUGGAGCUCAACUCCAGAACUGCCUUUGAUACUGGCAAUCUCGAGUCCGGAAGAGGUAAGUGGAACUCCUAGUGUAGAGGUGGAAUUCGUAGAUAUUAGGAAGAACACCAGUGGCGAAGGCGGCUUACUGGUCCGGUACUGACGCUGAGGUGCGAA